AUGUUUAUUACAGUCAACAACGGAUGCAGUAAUGCUUAAGAUGAACAAACAACUUGUUACCACGAUGAUCUUGGUGUGUUUUAUUCUUGUUUGUCUAGGAAUUAUGUUUGUCGAUGGACAACUGGGAUGCGUAUGUAGGAGACGUUGUUCACCGUUGGAGACUAACGUUAUGGACUGUUUUUCCGGAGAUACCACUUUUAAGAUGUGUUGUCAUCCCUGGAAUUGAUGAUAAGAUCUUGGGAAAUGCCGCAACAGAAUAUCAUGGAUUACCAAAUGUGUAUACGAUCGGAUUGAAAUAGCAUCAUUAUAUACGUUAAUUAAUGAAGAAUUCUCUAAACGCGACGUUCCAUCAACAAACAAAUAUGAAAGUUAUUGACUUGUGGUGCUUGAAGUGACGAAAGUUGCAUUUAUUUAAAAACAAAACGGUCAAAAGAUCAAUUCAGUUUCGGUUAUAAUCAAUAAAAGCAAGUGGAAUCAACAACAAGAAGUAAAAACCCCCAAAACGACGAUGCCUUUAAUUCAAAUUCAAAUAGUAUAUGUAUUGACUCUUUUCAAGUGAUUCGAAAACACGCGAUGGAAUUAAUUUUGCAAAAUCGCGAUUACUUGUGUCAAAUCAACAUAAUAACAUUACAAAUAAAAUAUCGAAGGAAUACGGAA